rnacentral:lncRNA from 1 species
UGGGCUAGGGUGUUACGCAGUCUGUAAAAAAGGGCUGCGGACCGCUCUAGCUCUGCAGAGCUGCCUCCACUGCCCCCGGACCCCAGGCCUGCCUGAUCGCCCGUGGGAGGCCCCUAUGUAUGGGAGUUGAAUUCCUGUGACAAGAGAAAUCAGGCUGUCCGUGAUCAAGGGGUGAAAGGUAUUGCUGGCCUAAGGAGUGGCUGAGGAGGACUCGGGGAGAGACCAGUUCUGGGUGGCCCAGCCAAGGUACAGUGAAAGAGGGCUCCUGGUGUUUUUUGUUUUUUGUUUCUGUUUUGUUUUGUUUUAUGUUU